rnacentral:lncRNA from 1 species
AAGGGGGUUGCUAAAGGGGUCUUGACCCAGUAUUUGGGUCCCUGGAAGAGGCCAGUGGCCUACUUGUCAAAAAAGCUGGGCCCUGUGGCGGCCAGCUGGCCACCUUGCUUGAGGAUGAUAGCUGCCACUGCCCUAUAAUGAUAAAGGAAGCCAACAAACUAACCUUAGGACAAGAGAUAUAUAUCACCACCACCCCCCCCAAUGCCAUCGAAGGAAUCCUGAAGCAACCCCCAGAACGGUGGCUAAGCAACACCUGGCUCACCCAUUAUCAAGGGCUGUUACUUAACCCUCUCAGAAUAACCUUUUAGGCAUCUCAGCUCUCAACCCCACAACCCUGCUACCCGACCCCAACUUGGAGGCUCCCUUGCAUGACUGUGCACAGAUCCUAGCACAGGUCCGCAGCAUCAGAGAAGACCUCCAGGACCAGCCAUUGCCGGAUGCAGAGCUUGGUUGCAUGCAGAGCUUGGAUGCGCAGAGCUUGGAUGCGGAGCUCCUCUGGUUCACGGAUGGGAGCAGCUUCAUUCCACAAGGUCAGAGAUAUGCAGGCGCAAGGUGGUAACAGAGACUGAAGUAGUAUGGGCUGAGCCCCUCCCGACAGGAACAUCAGCCCAGAGAGCUGAACUGAUAGCCUUGACCCAAGCACUAAUGCUAGGAAAAGACAAAAAGCUGACUGUGUACACCGAUAGCCAGUAUGCUUUUGCCACCGUCCACACACAUGGCGCCAUCUAUAAGAAAAGAGGGCUACUGACAGCUGAAGGAAAGACUAUUAAAAAAGAAGAGAUAUUGGCCCUUAUUACAACCCUAUGGUUGCCUAAGAAAUUGGCCAUUGUCCACCGUCCAGGACAUCAGAAACCUAAGGGCAUGGUAUCCAGAGGGAACAAUCUGGCAGAUAAAACCGCUUGGGAAAUAGCCAUGCGAAGAGAGAUUGUGAUGAUAGCCAACCUGCCUGAUCCAGACCGAAGCCUACCAGAAAUGCCACAAUAUUUCAAAGAGGACUUAGAGUGGAUUAAAGGACUGCCUAUGACUCAGUGCCUUAAUGGAUGGUGGCGAGACUCCCAAUGUCAUGUGAUAGUAUCUGAAAAGUUAGGCAACAGAAUUUUGCAGUGAAUGCAUCGCUCCACCCACAUGGGUGAGAGAAAAAUGCAGGACCUACUAAGCCAUGCUAAGAUAAAGAUUUAAAAUGCAAAUUCCAAGAUCCAGCAGAUUGUUGCUACCUGUAAGGCCUGCCAGCUGACGAAUGCGGGCCACAGCACAAUCAACCCUGGGAAUCCGGUAAGAGGAGACGAGACAGAACAGGAGCCUAUUGGGAAGUAGACUUCACUGCGGUAAAACGUGGCAAAUAUGGAUAUAAGUACCUUUUAGUUUUUAUAGAUACUUUUUCAGGAUGGGUAGAAGGAUUUCCAACUAAGCGUGAGACAGCUCAAGUAGUAGUUAAAAAGUUGCUGGAAGACAUCUUACCCAAGUACAGCUUCCCAG